rnacentral:rRNA from 1 species
GACGAACGCUGGCGGCGUGCUUAACACAUGCAAGUCAAGGGGGUCCGCAAGGACAACCGGCGAACGGGUGCGUAACACGUGAGCAACCUGCCUUAGUGUGGGGAAUAGCCGGCCCAACGGCCGGGUAAUACCGCAUACGAUUCUUGGGAGGAGUCUCCUGGGAAGGAAACCUUCGGGGCACUGAGAGGGGCUCGCGGCCUAUCAGCUAGUUGGCGGGGUAAUGGCCCACCAAGGCGACGACGGGUAGCUGGUCUGAGAGGAUGGCCAGCCACAUUGGGACUGAGAGACGGCCCAGACUCCUACGGGAGGCAG